AGUGAACGCUGGCGGUAGGCCUAACACAUGCAAGUCGAACGGCAGCACAGUAAGAGCUUGCUCUUACGGGUGGCGAGUGGCGGACGGGUGAGGAAUACAUCGGAAUCUACUUUUUCGUGGGGGAUAACGUAGGGAAACUUACGCUAAUACCGCAUACGACCUACGGGUGAAAGCAGGGGAUCUUCGGACCUUGCGCGAUUGAAUGAGCCGAUGUCGGAUUAGCUAGUUGGCGGGGUAAAGGCCCACCAAGGCGACGAUCCGUAGCUGGUCUGAGAGGAUGAUCAGCCACACUGGAACUGAGACACGGUCCAGACUCCUGCGGGACGCAGCAGUGGGGUAUAUUGGACAAUGGGCGCAAGCCUGAUCCAGCCAUACCGCGUGGGUGAAGAAGGCCUUCGGGUUGUAAAGCCCUUUUGUUGGGAAAGAAAAGCAGCAGGUUAAUACCCCGCUGUUCUGACGGUACCCAAAGAAUAAGCACCGGCUAACUUCGUG
rnacentral:rRNA from 1 species